rnacentral:lncRNA from 1 species
GCAUUUCAAUAGGAGAUGGUACUGAGAAUCUCCUUGUUGAAAACGUAGAAUGUGGACCAGGACACGGCAUUGCCAUCGGCAGUCUUGGAAAGUACCCUAAUGAGCAACCAGUAAGAGGAGUCACCAUAAGGAAAACCCUCAUCAAAAACACCGAUAAUGGUGUUCGCAUCAAGACGUGGCCCGGAUCUCCCCCUGGAAUCGCCUCCAACAUUCUUUUCGAUGAUAUCACAAUGGACAAUGUUAGCACUCCCAUUCUCGUCGACCAAGUGUAUUGCCCCCAUGGCACAUGCAAAAGUCAGGUAUAUAUAUAUGUAACUCAAUCAAAUCUUUACUAUCUAUAGGAGUUAUACAUAUACUUUGGUAUUAUGUAUGUUUGGUAAAACUUUUAAUUAAGUGUUUCUUGAAUUAAUAUAUAUGUGCAGGCACCAUCCAAAGUGAAGUUGUCGGACGUGUCAUUUAAGAACAUUAGGGGCACAUCAGCGUCAAAGGUGGCUGUGAAGCUACUGUGCAGUCCAGGCGUACCGUGCACUAAUUUUGCCUUCGCUGACAUUAACUUGGUCCACAACGGUAAAGAGGGACCAGCUGUGUCGGCAUGUUCUAAUGUAAAGCCUGUUGUCAGCGGAAAGAUGGUUCCACCAGCUUGCACUGAAGUCGCUAAACCAGGUCCUUGAACGUUGCCAGUCCAACCAUGCAUCCAUCCAAUCUGGCCGUGAAGACGCUUUGAUUUUGGUGCGAUGAAAGUUUUGAAAUAACUUUUUAUUUUUGUUGAGGUUUUUUUUGUCUCUUACGGAUAAAUGAUAUGGAUAUCUAUAGAUAAUAGUCCCUUCAAGCUUGUACUUUAUUAGCUGAAGAGUGACUCGUGAUUGGAUAGUAAUAUAUUUUUGUGUGAUUCGCAAAUUGCAAGUUUUUACACUUUUAUAUAAUAAAUAAUAGUAUCAUUGAAAUUUAAAGGGUAUGCUUUUUUUUAUAUUUCAUAUAAAUUCAAAUACAGUAUCUAUAUUGUACACUAUUUGACAUUCAUGUUAGUCUCCAUUGCUCACCAGUUUCUGUUCCACAUUCUGCCAUCACCAACAAUUUCGCUUUUCUCUCUGUAUUAUUAAUUAGCUAUAUUCAUCACCUUAAAACCUUUAAUUAGUAACGGCUUCCCUCCUCCUUACUUGGGCUCAACCGAUUAUCAUCGUACAUUUCACCUUAUGAAUCACCAUAUAUGAAAAAUUGAAACUAUAUGAAGAAAAUGAAACGAUCUCUUCCGCUAACAGAUAAUUAGGCUUAGACCAGCUCCAACGCUGAGUAAAUUGGGGGUUCAUCGAUAGUAAUAUUGGGCAUUUUUUGAUUUAAAAUAAAGAAUAAAAGCCCAAUAUUGAAAGCAGCGGUGCUUCCUGAUGGACUUAAAGCAGCGGUUCAGGAAGGGGUUCAUCGGCCACGUGUGAAGUUUUUAUUAGUUGAAGCAGAAAAAAGAGAGAAAAUAAAGUUAAGUGGUAUCGGAUUUUUUUUUUCUGGAAAAAAUAUGUUUGACAGAAAUUUGGACAUUUGGUUUAAUGUUUUUUUUUGUGUUUUAAUUAUAUGUAAUGAAUAAGUUUGUUUAAUCUUUUUCUCAUGUAUUUUUAAUUAUAUGUAAUGAACAAUUUAUUUGAAAUUAUAAUAAAUUAAAUGUUUAAAAUUGAUUUUCAGAAAAAAAAAAAUUUGAAAAAAAAAAUUACUAUAAUAAUUCAAAAAACUCCUUGAAGGGGUUCAGGGUUGGACACCAAUUUUUCCAUAGAGUUCAUCGAAAAAAAUUUUCUCAAAAAAAUUAAUAAAAAAAUUGAUAAAGCCUUCAAUGGGGUUCAAGGUUGGAGAUGGUCUUAUGGCUUCUGACACCGCUAGUAAAACACUAAUACACCAUCAAAAGACUGAUCUAAAAUCACAUUUUUAUAGUGAAGCUGUUAGGUAUAUGGCAUAUCUUUAUCUUUCUUCUUAUAUUUAGACUACAAUCUUUUCACUAUCAUCUUGUCACUUGAGAAAAAUUGUUACGUCAUCAUAUAUAGUUAGAGUACUUACUUUCAAAGAGCUGUAAAUGAUUCAAAGACACAAAAAGUACACCAAAAUUAAAGUUCGGUUCGGUUGAAUUAGGAUAUUCAAAUUUCGGUUUAGUUUAGGUAAAAAAAAAAAAAUGUCAAUGCCGAAUCUGGAGAGAAGUCCUUUACAGGUUCUAAUCCCCAACACGAUUGCGUAAGAACAAUAGAAGCUAUACACUACGCACCUCUAAGUACUAUAAAUUAAACAUGCAUUCGAUAAAGGCAUGCUGUUGUCUACACAACGACACGCGCGCUCUACAUAGACCGAUCACCGAUAGGAUUCAAACUUCACGCAUCACAAUUUUAAAUUGAGCUAAAGUUCAGACGCUAAGAGCAUGAUUAGAGAAAUCCACAUGAGUUUCUACUUGAUUAUUAUAGUGAUAAAGUUGAGGGUAGAAACUCAGCAAAAAACCUAAACUUUUUUGAUGUAUAUUGGAGAAACUCAAUCUCCACCGAAAAUCAAACCAUAAAAUCUAUACACAAAUCAAUUUACAAUUGGAAAAUUUCAUUUCUAAAACAGAGAAAUUUAGAUUUGGAAUCGAAAUUACCUUUUGAUCAGGAAAGGAUUCUGAGAAGUCGAAGAAGUCGAAAUCAUCUUCUGAAUUUCUCAUGAAACCAUCUAAGCAGAAUCUCUGCCGAUGAUGCGAUUGGACGAUUGGACGACAUGCAGACGGCGGUGAUGCAAGUUCUCUGCCGGAGACUUCGAAGAUUUUGACUAAACCCAAAAAUCAGCCAUCGGAGAAGUCGAGUUCUCUCUAUUGAAGAAGUUGAAGAAUUUUUUUUUUCAACGAGGGAGAGAAUGAUUGCAAAGAAAAACAUUUCCAUGCCAAAAAAAUGUCCCUUUUGUGAGAACCAAU